rnacentral:pre_miRNA from 1 species
ACAUAAGUCUCCUGGGGAUCUUGUUAAAUUGAAGAUUCUGAUUCUGUAGGUCUAGCUUGGGUGCAAUCCCAGACUUUGUAGUUCUGACAGGCUCUCAAGUAACACAAAU